CGUUAGAACACCGUUUCCCGUAUGAUCGCCGAAGUUAAGCAACAUCGAGCAGAGUCAGUAUUGAGAUGGGUGAUCGCUUGGGAAUG